UGCAUCGGAAGCCUGACGAGGAUGAGAACCUCCGGGGGCAAGAGGUUCGACUCGAGCGCAGCGAGAGAACGUUGCGUCAGCAACGGCCCGCAGGGCGAGCCACGCAGUGGCGAGUCAUCCUCUAUCACCGACCA
rnacentral:sRNA from 1 species